rnacentral:rRNA from 1 species
UGGGGAAUAUUGCACAAUGGGCGCAAGCCUGAUGCAGCCAUGCCGCGUGUGUGAAGAAGGCCUUCGGGUUGUAAAGCACUUUCAGCGAGGAGGAAGGUGGUGAACUUAAUACGUUCAUCAAUUGACGUUACUCGCAGAAGAAGCACCGGCUAACUCCGUGCCAGCAGCCGCGGUAAUACGGAGGGUGCAAGCGUUAAUCGGAAUUACUGGGCGUAAAGCGCACGCAGGCGGUUUGUUAAGUCAGAUGUGAAAUCCCCGGGCUCAACCUGGGAACUGCAUUUGAAACUGGCAAGCUAGAGUCUCGUAGAGGGGGGUAGAAUUCCAGGUGUAGCGGUGAAAUGCGUAGAGAUCUGGAGGAAUACCGGUGGCGAAGGCGGCCCCCUGGACGAAGACUGACGCUCAGGUGCGAAAAGGCGUGGGGG